GCCGCUCCUCUCUCCCGCUAAGUCGUGAGGCGCGGAGCGAGUCCUGUGCCGGAGAGCAAGGAGUAACCUGAGCCCCGCGUACCUCACACUCCCCGACUCUCACACACACACACACACACACACACACGCAGACCUACACAAUGAACAAAGGUGAAGGCGCUUGAAAUGAGCGCAGCAGCUGUGGCUGGUGGAUAAGAGCGGAGCAGGAGUCUCCCCCGGGAGACUAAAAGGAGGGAGCCGUCCCCGACGACACCACAGCGAGUCCCGUCAUACGUGAGCUUAAAACUGGGCUCCCCUGGACUGACGGCGCCGCCGCCCAAACCAAUUCUGGGCAUCUAAUUAAUCCGGAAAAAAAAAAGAAUAAAAUCCUUGACAUUCCGUCUCCUUCUCUGGUGGGUUUAAUUGCUGUCCUUAAUGUCGGGAUUGUGAGCCCCCAUGUAAAAAGCUCCUAAUCCUUCCGUGAAGUGGGAACAUGAGCGAUGAUUAUUGUUGUUAUCGCAGAAUCUGUUGUUUAUCCCAUCAAUCAACAAAUGAAUCACACAGUCUGCGACCCCUCUGGUGGAUACAAAGACGUUAUUCUUGUUUAAGCUUGAAUCUCUCUGUCCAACGUUUGCUGGGUUCUAAGUCUCGUCUCUGUUUGCGGUUAACUGAAUUUAAUCCAAAACAACAACUUAAGUGUGUGUGUGUGUUUUUUUUCCAGGGGGUUAUGUUCCUAAUUCUUGGCAGGACACGGUGACUUAGUGGAGCCUCCUGGUCACCGUGAGGUUGCCAGGCAACCGGCUGGGACUCCAAAACUGUAUGGAUCAAAUAAACAAGACGGGCUGGUGGGCGGACUUUCUUCAUUGAGGACAGAGCUCUUGGUUCCAGUCUUACUGACAUCGGCCUGAGUGCUACGCCCAACUUCGUCUAUCCCUUUACAACUCUCCUCAGCGGCAGCGGCGCAUCCCGAAGAGGCAGAUGAGGGGGGGGCGCUGAGUCGAGAGAUGACAGGAAAAGACUAUUCCGCCUCAUACAUUUGAGCACCAUGUAGUCCGAUUCCACCGGAUGCUUUUGCGUGUUUCCUCAUGGCUAAAAUGCAUUUAUAACAAUGAGUGAAGUGCAUUUAUUGAUUUGUUUGUUGGAGCAGAGAGAGAAAGGACAGUGUUUGGUGCCCGAAAGAUUGGGCGUCAAAUUCCCUCAACGUGUGGUCGGAUCCCAUUAUUUUCUGUCUGAGAGGAGAAGACGGGGCAGGGAUGAAUCAUGCCCGAUAUCUCAUCUCAGCUUCCGCCCACACAACAACAACAACAACAACAACAACAGCAACCACCAUUCACAGCUGCCAAUAUAUAGAUUUUCCAUGAUGGGUUCUUAAGUGGCUAUCAAAGAUGAAAUGUUAGCUACAAAUAGAGUUGUACUGUGUUACAGUUUGUUUCUGCCACAUUUUCACAAAAUACAACUUUUCAACAAUAUUAUUAAUAAUGUUAAUAUUGAUAGUGAUAAAAUGACAUACCUAUUUCUGACAAACUGCAAGUGAACGACCAGCCCCCAUUAGCAAUAUUUGAUCUG
ensembl:lncRNA